UACAGAGGGUGCAAGCGUUGCUCGGAAUCAUUGGGCGUAAAGGGUAGGUAGGUGGUCUCAUUUGUCUGGGGUGAAAUCCUUGGGCUUAACUCAAGAAGUGCCUCGGAAACGGUGAGACUAGAGUGCUGGAGAGGGUCGUGGAAUUCCCGGUGUAGCGGUGAAAUGCGUAGAGAUCGGGAGGAACACCAGCGGCGAAGGCGGCGACCUGGACAGCUACUGACACUCAACUACGAAAGCGUGGGGAGCAAACAGG
rnacentral:rRNA from 1 species